rnacentral:rRNA from 1 species
UACGUAGGGUGCAAGCGUUGUCCGGAAUUAUUGGGCGUAAAGAGCUCGUAGGCGGUCUGUCGCGUCUGCUGUGAAAACUCAGGGCUUAACCCUGAGCUUGCAGUGGGUACGGGCAGACUAGAGUGCGGUAGGGGGAGACUGGAAUUCCUGGUGUAGCGGUGAAAUGCGCAGAUAUCAGGAGGAACACCGGUGGCGAAGGCGGUUCUCUGGGCAUUACCUGACGCUGAGGAGCGAAAGUGUGGGGGAGCGAACAGG